UUAUUUAUAACAGCUUUCUUUUAAAAAAAGGGGAAAAUUUUGAAAUUUAACUGAAUGAAAUAUUACUAAGAAGUCAGGGUGUACCUCUAGAAGUAGAACACCCACCAGGACUGAGAAGUUCAUAAGAUGUUCUUGAUCUUUUAGAUAAUAUUCAGCAAAAUGCUAAUACCAGUUUUUCUAGUACAUGUAGUCCUGAAAAAAAUGCAUCAUAUCCGAUCCAAAGUGCAACUGAGCCACCACUUUUGAAAGCUUUAAAGUAGUAUAAUGUAUUUGGGUGUAAAGCUUCAGCUAAAUAACAUAAGAACUGGGAAGAAGAAGAUAUUUUAACUGUGAAAGACAGAGGAGUAAUUCUUAAGUCAGAGCAUGGAAGACAAAGAAAUAAGUCGAGCAACAGGAUUUAAAUUUGCCCAGCUCAAAUAACUCGAACACGAGAACAUCUUAAAAGUUGGCGGCCGCGAAGUUCUU